CACUACUCACCUCAUUGUUGGGUAGAGAAACGGCCUCAACCAAUUUGAACACAUAAUCAACCGCGACCAAAAUGUAGGUGUUUCUGUUUCCACGAAGUCAAUACCCCCACACAUGGAUUUUAGGCUACAUUUGGAGAUAAGAUUCCUACCCAACACAGCGUCGUUUCCCCAUUGUUUUUUUGGUUCUCCUUCCUUACCUCUCAUCUUCAACAGAGGAUCAGAACACACACCCAAAAAUGAAAACCUUCCCUCUUAGAGACCCUAGCGGCGCACCUCUCUAUUCUUGAACAAAAAAAGGACGAACACCACCUUCUCCUCUUCCCGAUUCCCUCCUCUUCUCACACUCACCCUUUCGUCUGCACCUCACAUAUACACUCCUCCCUCACACACGCAAAGGCCAUAUAGGGGCAGCUGCAAAAAUACGAAGAAAAAAAAAAGAUCCAAAAAAUCAAAAGCUAAAAAAUGGGAAGAAAAACAUGAAUUUUCAAUAGAGAAUUGAAGAAGAACUGAUUUCAAAGCUUGAUUUUCUUUAUUUCUGAGUCUCUGGAAGCUAUUAAAGAGCCGUGGAUUUGCCGCUCGAUUAUCGCUGAUUUUGCUUCUUUUUUUUUUGUUCUGAAAUUGCUGAGCUCUACUGCUUGUUUGUUUAAGAGGUAAACUCAAAAGCACCCCUUUUGUAUUUUGUUAUAUUUAGUGAUGAAUGUUUGAACAGUGAAGUGAUGUCCAAUUGUUUGUGAUAUUGAGUUUAAUCCUCUAUUUCUCCUACUGGUUCAAUUCUGUUAGAAGCUAGAGUUACAUCCUCCUUAGUACUUCUGCAAUCUUCCAUGUCGUAUGUGGAUGUUAGGGGAAAUACACUUUCAUUUAUAAAAGAAGAACAAUAAUUUUAAAUGGCAUCUAUUUGAAUCUUUAAGGUUAUGCAUUUUAGAAAAGAGGGAAUACAGUGAAGUGGAGGUUCUUAGAAGAUGGAAAUAAUUGUUUCUUGUAGUUUCUUUUCCGAUUUGAAAAUGAUGUUUCCCUUAUUUUAUUGUUUAUUUGUCUUGUUUUAGAUUAGUUCAAAUUGUUUAGUUUUUCAUUUUAACUGGUUGUGACAUUUUUGAUUUGGCCCACUUUGGUUUGAAUGAACUAUAUAAAGUACUGGAGAUUUCAUUUUUUUUAAGUUCCUUCCCUUUUGUUACUUGUUGCUGGUUUAAAGGAGCAGGUCAAUACUUAGUUGGUUAAGAACUUGAAAUAUGUAUAAAUUUUAUAUCAUUUAUUACUUUAUCUAAUUAUUCAUGCAUUUUAUCAUCAAUGAAUUGGUACUUUUCAAUUGUUACAGCUGACUUAUGUGCGAUAGAUCUUGUUUAGCUAUUAGGAUUAAAUUAAGCCUAUAAAUUAUUAGUUUGGGCCAUAGAACUCUAAACUUGAUAUUGGUUGCGGCAGUGUUUGAACAAAAUAUUUUGGGCCGAAGUAUUUAUUGUUGUGUGGCCCAAUUUAACAAGAACUGGAAGUUGGUUCAUCUUUUCUAUAACAAAUGAUAGAAUAUUAGUAAUUCUAGGCAUAAUUGUGAGUUAUAACUUUGAUUAACUGUUUUGAGAUUCUUAGUAUUACUCAUAAAGUUCUUCUGCAACAAUCUUCCAUAAUCCAUGGCUUUCCAAUAAUCCCAAACUUUAGCAAAUAAAUAAUCAUGAACAUCGUAGCUUGUUUUAGGCACGAUUAGUAAACCAUCGUGACUAUGGGUACGGUUCCCGUGGCAUAGUCGUGAUGUCUAAUUCCCAAAUUUGGGGGUGCAUUUCAUGUAACCCGAUCAUAAUAACUUCGAAUAAUAAAACCCUUUGAAAUCAAUUGAGGUGUGCCAUGCCAAAUAAAACCCCUAAGCCCAUGGCCCUCAUAAACUAGUUAGCUCUUAUAGAAAUUUUGAGGUGUGCCAUUUUCCAUUAAAUAACCCACGGCCCUCAUGAAAUUAAUUCAAACCUUGUAAAAAUUGAGGUACGCCAUCAAUUAAACUUUCCAUGGCCCUCAUAAAUGUUGUUAUCAAUUUGAACCUUCAUAGUUGCUUUAGGCGCAUUCUUUAAAUAAUUCAUCACAGCUACGGGUAAUGUUCCCUUGACAUAGUUGUGAUUUUUAAUUACUAAAUACGGGUGUACAUUUUAUGUGACCCAAUUCUCAACAAUGUUAAAUAAAGCGUGUUGCGAACCACGGGUGCAUUUCAUGUAGCUUGGUUUGCGAUGUGUUUAAAUGACAUUGAAUCUUCCUAAAAGCGGUUUAAAUUAAUUUAAAAGCGGUUAUAAAGCUAAAAAUGCACAAUAGGUUAAAACAUGUAAUAAAUCGGAUAAUAGGUCAAUUUUAAUAGUUUAAGCGACCGUGCUAGAACCACGGAACCCGAAAAUGCCUAACACCUUCUCCCGGGUUAACAGAAUUCCUUAUAUAGAAUUUCUGGUUCGCAGACUUUUAAAUAAAGUCAAAUUUCCUCGACUUGGGAUUUUAAAAUAAACCGGUGAUUUGGGACACCAAAUAAACUAUCCCAUGUGGCGACUCUGAAAUUAAAUAAAAUAAUCUCAUUUCGAAUAAUGUCACUUUAAUUGGAAAAACUCCCCUAUAUACCCCCUCGGGUGGGUAAAAAGGGGUGUGAUAAGAGCGCAAUUAGAUGAAAUUCCACCAUGAUCCUUGGCUUCCCAUCGAGCCUAGGAUAAAUCGCGCCACACGCGCUCGAGGUAUGGGAAAAUCGAGUCCAGUUUAGCUAUCCAUCCCGAAAGAUUUCAUUACCGCAUCGGGGUACACCACAACAGUUGUAUCAACGGAGGAAGUCAGUCCAUGAAGAAAUGUAUCCAAAAGAAAGAAAUGGGCAGUUAAUUAAGUAUGUCUACUUACGCUUCAUGUUCCAUCUUUCGGGAAACGACAUCCUCUCUGCAGGGAUCAAGUCCGAAGUCCUAACUCGGACGAAACGGCUCAUCCACUCCUCGUUCCUAAUCUCGUCGGUGCAAGCAAAGAGGGCCCUCGAGGCCCGGCAACGAAGCUUAAUCAGGCCCCCGCGAAAAAGUCGGAGACUGUACACUUUGAUCAAAUGGUCAAGGGUAAAGGGCAUCCCCUCUAUCAUAUUCACGUAAUAUCUGGUCAUGUAAAUGAUACGCCAAAAUGACUGAUUAAUUUGGCCGAGAGUCACUUGAUAUCAUUCGCAAAAGUCGAGGAUCACGGGAUCUAUCGAAGACAUGGAGGGCACCACCGGGCUGAGGGUAAAUGGAUAAGUAUACACACUGAGGAAGUCGUCCUUAUACAUCAUUACGUCCUCCCCCGAGAAGGAACCUCCACUAGCACCGCAUCUCCCCAGCGACAGUCGAUUUUCACCCUUUCGUUAUCCGUUAUUAAACUGACGUAUCGGGAUGCAGGUUUGCAUCGCCCCGGUUUCGAAGAAGGUCUCUCGACCUUAAAAUCAGAGGUCAUCUCAAAGGCCCCUGGAACGCACUCUCCAGUGCUAGGAGGCAUUGUUUCACCCUCAAAAGAGAGCGUGGAAGAGGAAGAUACAUCUCCCUAAGGGAUGGAGGCGGAAUUGUUCGCCAUUUUUACCAGCGGAUAACAAAGGAGAAACUAAAAAUCACGUUUCAGGAAAAGGCACGGGAGAGAGGUAAGAAGAAAGAAAAACUCUGUUGGGAGCCUGAUGAUGCAGUAGAAAGGAAGGGGCAAAGAAAUGAAUACUUAUAGAAGCCUAACAUAUGCGGUUGGAGCAGACCAAAAGACAGCCAACCACUAUAAUUAAUUCAAAGAUUUUCAGGAUUGUGUGGAUGCGACCUUUUGAAGCCCUGUCUAUUACAUCAGUCACUUGGCAGGACAUAACUAUUUGUUUCGAUGGAGGCGUCGGAGGGGCAAGAUCUCGAGGAUGUUUCCUUUCAUUUUACUCUGAGAAACGUGGAGACUAUCUGUAUACAGCUAAAAUCGGGAAGACCAAUUUUAGGAUCGACAAGGUAUUACGUAAUCUCAUCUCGAAGGGCCUGAAGAAUAGCCCGGGGUCCGAUGCCCUAGGGGACUCUUUGUGCCCCGUGUCAGGGCAAAACAAACCGGUGCUUGUUGCAGGUAAACGGGAAGUUCCCUAGGAGCAGUACUUUCUGACAACACCUGCGCAAAUAGUGACAUCCUGCACCAGGCUGAUUGAGUGGUUGUACCAGUUACUUUAUGUAAUAAUUACACAUGUGUCAUAUAAGGAUUUUUCCCUCAUAUAUAAAGGGGACCCUUGUCAUUUUCAAAUGGGGGUUGGGACACAAUAUUGAAAAUACAAGAACAUUCUCUCGGCUUUCUAACAUAUUCUCUUGAUUUCAUUACUUGCAUUUAUUGAUUAUAUUCAUAGUGUUCUUCUAUUUAUUGUUCUUCAUUUUUUGCUCGUUAUUGAUCAUGAAGAGCUGCCAUCGUAGCUCUCAUAACUGUUAAUCCUCCCUCGAUUGCACUUAGUCGAGCACCCGAUUCGACAUCGAGGCCCUGUAUACACCAGCUCGAUGCCCCGACUUUCGACCAUUCGGUUUGGUUAUUAUACUAUCUACAAGCUCUUAUUUACUUUCCAGUCUUUCGCUUAGCAUCUAUUGCCUAACAACUAGUAUAAAAAUAGAUCGCAUAUUUUUAGAACCAAAAAAUCAAAUCUAAUUGUAAUUACAAUUUUCAAGGUAAACAAUAAGGCUUAGGGCUACUGUUACCUAUUUCUUUCUCUGAGAAUUCACAAAUCUUAUUGAAAUCAUCUGGUAAAUCAUCUGCCAACACACUCAACUUCUGGGAUCACUCAUUUUCACUACUUCAUAUCUGGUAUGCCUCAAUCACUUGUAGAAUAUUUCAAUUUUUAGUUUAAUUUACAGUUUUUUAGUUAGUUUUAAGACAUUUGUCUGUAUAAUUCAAAUAUACAACCAUGUGGGGUUAAAACUAUAGUGGGUCAACUGGUACUUGCUCUAUGGGGAAUGGGUAAAUAGGUUUUCAUGCAUAUAUGCUAUUACCACGUCAAAAUUUGAGCAAAACAUUGCAAGCCCUAGAACUUUGUUCGUAAGUGUUUUGAAAUUUGUGGCCGCACAAGAAAUUAUGCAGUCCAUAUAAGUUAAAAUUAGGGUAUUUUAGUAAGGCAUGAUUCUGCGGCCGCAAUGAAAAAUGUGCGAACCACAGAAAACCCACUGCGGCCGCAAAACAACUCUUUUUUUAUUGUUAGAGAGUUGUCAAUUUGAUGACUCACAUGUGCAACCGCGAUAGAAAAUGUGCGAACCGUAGAUAACUGGUUGCGGCUGCAAAACAACCAAUUCUCUGUUAUUAGAGAGUUGUCAUAUUGGUGGUGUCUGAGUUGCGUCCGCAAUGAGAAUUGUGCAGACCGCAAUCCAAUUCUGCGGCCGCAAUGAAUAUUCUGUGAACUGCAACUCCCUACCCUGUAAGCAUGUUUUAAACUGUGUUGUUCACUGUCUCUCUGUUGUGUUCUUAUAUGUCUGCACUUGAAUUGCAACUAACACCUGCUUUUGCUUGGUACAGAAAAAUGCUUAGAUCUCGAGGUAAAGGUGAUACUUCGAAUGCGAGGGGAGAACCUUCCAAGGGUCGAGGCAAGAGUGCUUUACCCCUCGCCUUACAAAAGAUAAUCACAAAGAAGGCUACACCCGGCCGAGGGAAAAUGCAGAGCCCUCCGAGUCCAGUUCUUAUGUCAUGUCUAGGGAAGCAUCAGAGGGUAACUCGGUUCAAGAGCAGCCGGUUGUCUAAUCAAAGCCACCAGGAAGGUAUCAACUCCGAGACGAGCCUUUCACAUCUCAGAUCACGUUAGAGGGUUCGGAAAGUGCUAGUCAGGCUUCUGAGCCCUCCUUUACACCUGUCCCUGAGGCACCAGAUACCACUAUUUAUGACAUCCACGAUGAUGGUCGAGGGGGAGAUGCGACAGCUACCGGCCUUGAAAGGUCAAAGAAGAAUGUGUUCUGGGAAGACCGAUUUGUCAGCUUAGCAGCCUUCUCUAGUUUUCGUGAAUGGUGGUCAGUUAGGUCACUCACUCUUGAGAAUCAGUUCCAUUUAAAAGAUCUAGAAAAGAACAAUCCUGCAGUUUUGAGAUAGUUUAGAGAGCACAAAGGGUAGAUGUGGUUUACCUAGAGCGUGGUGAAUGCAAAAUAUUUAAAUUGUCCGGGAAUUCUACGCUAAUAUGGCGCGCAUCAAGAAGGGGCUAAGGGUUACAAAAGUGAGAAAACUCAAGGUGCAAUUUGACCAUCACACAUUGAAAACUUACUUGGGGUUUGAUGAUGUCGAGCCCAUAGAGUACUUAGAGAAAUGUGCACUUGGGGAGGCAGCCAUCCUUGGUUAGCAGAGAUGCUAGCAGCUCCUGGGCCACUACCACCAUGGAUCACAGCAGGGGUUCCUAUUCAGAAGAACACUCUGAAUUUUGAGGCAAAGGGGUGGCAGACCUUUAUUUAUAGCAGACUAGACUUGUGCCAGAAUGUGACUUAUCUUCCAAAUCUGCAGGCAGUUCUAGUUGCUUCUAUCAUGGCCGGGUACCCAAUCAAUGUGGGUGUCGUGAUGUCCGCCAACAUCUCUAUGAUCGCGAGGCAAAGAUUGAGGUAAUUUCUAAACUUCCACCUCCAACUUCGAUAAAGGGCAUCCGACGUUCCAUCAAGGAUUUUUUCUAAAGUGGUGAAUCCGUUGUGCAAGAUUUAAAGAAAGAUUCUAAGUUUUACUUCAACGAUGAUUGCAUGAGAGCCUUUGAAGUUUUAAAGUUCAAGUUGAUAACUACUCCCAUUAUCACCGCUCCAAAUUGGAGCGCUCCUUUUGAGCUCAUGUGCGAUGCAAGUGAUGUAGCGGUGGGGGCUAUAUUCGGGCAACGCAUAAAUACGAAUUUUCGUCUGGUCUACUAUGCUAGUAAGACAAUGAAUAAUGCCAAAGUCAACUAUACCAUUACAGAGAAAGAGCUUUUUGCCAUUGGGUUUCUAUUGAGAAGUUUCGCCCGUACUUGAUGGGUGCUAAAGUUAUUGUCCACAUGGAUCAUGCGCCACUUCAUUAUCUUAUGAGCAAGAAAGAUUCCAAAGCUUUGUUGAUGAGAUGGGUACUUUUCUUGCAAGAUUUUGACAUUGACAUCCAAGAUAGAAAAAGAUGUGAAAAUAAAGUGGCGGACCACUUGUCUCGUUUGGAUGAGGAGGGGAAGCCGCAUGAUGGCCUUGAAAUCAAUAAUUCCUUCCUAGAUGAGAAACUUUUGGCUAUUUCAAUGAAAGAGGUGCCAUGGUUUGCGGAUCUAGCAAAUUUCCUUAUGAGUGAUAUCAUCUCGGAUGAGUUCUCUUCAAACCAAAGGAAGAAGUUCAAACGGGAUUGUCAAGACUAUUAUUGGGAUAAACCGUACCUUUUCCGGAUUUGUACGGAUGGGGUGAUUAGAAGAUGCAUAUUGGAAGAAGAGCAAUGUAAAAUUCUUGGGGCUUGUCAUUCUUCACCAUAUGGUGGUCACCAUGGUGGAGCAAGAAUGGCGGCCAAAGUGCUAAGUUCCAGUUUCUAUUGGCCCACUCUUUACAAGGAUGCAAGUGAUCUACUGAAAUGAUGUGAUGAAUGUCAAAAUGUUGGCGGAAUCUCAAAGAAAAAUGAAAUUCCCCUCACCACCAUUUUGGAGAUUGAUAUUUUUGAUGUGUGGGGUAUUGACUUCAUGGGUCCUUUUGUGAGUUCUUGUGGGAACACCUACAUCUUGAUCGCGGUUGAUUAUGUGUCCAAAUGGGUGGAGGUUGUUGCUCUACCCAACAAUGAGGCAAGAAGUGUGGUGGCAUUCAUGAAGAAUAAUAUUAUCACAAGGUAUGGUACUCCACGGUCUAUCAUAAGCGAUAGGGGGUCACAUUUUUGCAACAAAUCCUUCGACACCUUACUUAUCAAGUAUGGUGUCAUUCACAAAGUCACGACUCCCUAUCAUCCACAAGCAAGCGGUCAAGUGGAAGUUUUUUACAAGGAGAUAAAGAGGAUUUAGUCCAAAAUAGUGAAUGCUAACCGGACGGAUUGAUCUAAGAAAUUUGAUGAUGCUUUAUGGGCUUAUCGAACGGCUUACAAAACACCUAUCAAAAUCUCUCCAUAUCGAUUGGUGUUCGGAAAAGCUUGUCAUCUUCCGAUGGAACUUGAGCAUAAAGCCAUGUGGGAUCUAAAGACGUUGAAUCUUGAUUGGGAUGUCGCCUCUAUCUUGAGGGUGGCACAUUUGAAUAAGUUGGAUAAGUUUCGAUACCAUGCAUACACAAGUUUGUCUUUAUACAAAGAGAAGAUGAAAUAUCUUCAUGAUAAGUACAUUUUCCACAAAGAGUUCAAAGAGGGUGAUCUUGGGUUGUUUUUCAACUCAUGGUUGAGGAUGUUUCCCAGGAAGUUAAAGUCUAUAUAGAGUGUCUCGUUUGAAGUUGUGGGUGUGACACCCUUUGGUGCAUUGGAGUUGAAGAAUAAAAAUAAUGAGGUAUUCCGAAUCAAUGGUUAUCGGGUGAAGCACUAUUUGGGAAAAGUUGGUGAUAGCCACGUUGUGGUGGUGAUUCAUUUCAAUUGAUGGUAUUGUGCAUCGUGCCGCGACAUUAAAUCAAGCGCUUCUUGGGAAGCAACCCAUGUUUUUUUUUCUUUUCUUAUAUUGUAGUGAGGUGUUAUUAUUGUGCUAACUGGAUUUGAAGUGUGUUGCGGGGAUGAGUGUGCUUUACAGAAAAUGUGCCCAGAAAUUUGGCUAAGUGUGGAAAGAAUUGCGAACCGCAAUUGUAUUGCGCGGGCCGCACAAUUACAGUUGUUGCACAAAAGGUGCUAUGCGGCUGCACAAUUACAUUGCGGACCGCACAAAUUGAAGAUAGAAAAUGACAACUCUCUGAAGUUGGUCCCACAGAAACAUGGCCAAUCUAUGGACGCAAGACAAAUUCUGCAGUCCGCAACAAACUCUACGGCCGCACAACAAAAGGGCUUCUGAGCCCUCAGAGCGGACCGCAAUUGGAAUUCUGUGGCCGCAGUCACUUCUCUUUCCCAUAGAAAAUAAUCGACAAGUAUAAAUAUAAGGCCUAGGGCUACUGUUACCUUUUUCCUUCUCUGAGCAUUCACAAGUCUGAAAAUUGAAAUCAUCUGGUAAAUUAUCUGCCCACACACUCAACAUAUGUGGUCACUCAUUUGCACUACUUCAUAUUUGUAUGCCUCAAUUACUUGUAGAGUAUUUUAAUUUUUAGUUUAAUUUACAGCUUUUUAGUUUGUUUUAUGCCAUUUGUAAGUAUAAUUCAAUUAUACAACCAUGUGGGGUUAAGACUGUAGUGGGUCAACUUGUACUUGCUCUAUGGGGAAUAGGUAAAUAGGUUUCCAUGCUUAUACGCUAUUACCAUGUCAAAUGUGCAAAAAAUUGCAAGCUCUAGAACUUUGUUCGUAAGUGUUUUGAAAUCUCAGGCCUCACAAGAAAUUAUGUGGUCCACAGAAGUUAAAAUUAGGGCACUUAAGUAAGGCAUGAUUUUGCGGCCGCAAUGAAAAAUGUGCAGACCGCAGAAAACCCACUGCGGCCGCAGAACAACACUUUUUCUGUUGUUAGAUAGUUGUCAAUUUGAUGACUCAUAUGUGCGGCCGCAAUAGAAAAUGUCUGGAUCGCAGAAAACUGGUUACGGAUGCAAAACAACCAAUUCUCUAUUAUCAGACACUUGUCAUAUUUGUGGUGUCUGAGUUGCAUCUACAAUGAGAAUUGUGCGGACUGCAAUCCAAUUCUGCAGCCGCAAUGAAAAAUUGUGCGAUCUGCAAUGCCCAUUAUGCGUCUGCAAUGAAAAUUGAGUGAACCGCAACUCCCUGCCUUGCAAGCAUGUUUUAAACUGUGUUGUUCACUGUCUCUCUGAUGUGUUCUUGUAUGUCUGCACUUGAAUUGCAUCUAACAACUGCUUUUGCUUGGUACAAAAAAUGGUUAGAUCUCGAGGUAAAGGUGAUACUUCAAAAGGUCGAGGAGAACCUUCCAAGGGUCGAGGCAAGAGUGCUUUACCCCUCGCCCUACAAAACAUAAUCACAAAGAAGGCUACAGUCAGCCGAGGGAGAGAUGCAGAGCCCUCUGAGUCCAGUUCUGAUGUCCUGUCUAGGGACGCAUCGAAGGGCAACUCAGUUCAAGAGCAGUCGGUUGUCUAAUCAAAGCCACCAGGAAGGUAUCAACUCUGGGAUGAGCCUUCCACAUCUCAGAGCACUUCCGAGGGUUCGAAAAGUUCUAGUCAGGCUUCCGAGCCCUCCUCUAUACCUAUCCCUGAGGCACCGGAUACUACUAUUGAUGACAUCCCCGAUGAUGGUCGAGGGGGAGAUAUGAUAGUUGCCGGCCUUGAAAGGUCAAAGAAUGAAUUCUGGGAAGACCGGUUUGUCAGCUUAGCAGCCUUCUCUAGUUUCCGUGAAUAGUGGCCAGUGAGGUCUCUCACUCUUGAUCUACAUCUCCAUUUGAAAGAUCUAGAAAAGUACAAUCCUAUAGUUUUGAGACAGUUUAGAGAGCGCAAAGGGUGGAUAUGGUUUACCCAGAGCAUGGUGGAUGCAAAAGGAGUACAUUGUCCAGGAUUUCUACGCCAAUGUGGCGCACAUCAAUAAGGAGCUAAAGGUUACCAAACUAAGAAACCUCAAGGUGCGAUUUGACCAGCACACAUUGAACACUUACUUGGGGUUUGAUGAUGUCGAGCCCACAGAGUACUUAGAGAAACGUGCACUUGUUAAGGUAGCCCGUCCUUGGUUAGCAGAGAUACUAGCAGCUCUUGGGCCACCACUACCAUGGAUCACAGUAGGGUUCCUAUUUAGAGGAACACUCUGAGCUUUGAGGCGAAGGGGUGGCAGACCUUCGUUUGUAGCAAACUAGACUUGUGCCAGAAUGUGACUUAUCUUCCAUUUCCGCGGGCAGUUUUAGUUGCUUCUAUCAUGGCCGGGUACCCGAUCAAUGCGGGUUCCAUGAUGUCGGUCAACAUCUCUAUGAUGGCGAGGCAAAGAUUGAGGUUAUUUCUAAACUUUCACCUCCAACAUCGGUAAAGGGCGUGCAGAGUUUCUUAGGCCACGCGGGGUUUUACCGGCGUUUCAUCAAGAAUUUUUUAAAGUGGUGAACCCAUUGUGCAAGAUUUAAAGAAAGGUUCUAUGUUUCACUUCAAUGAUGGUUGCAUGAGAGCCUUUGUAUUUCUAAAGUUCAAGUUGACAACUACUCCCACUAUCACCGCUCCAAAUUGGAGCGUUCCUUUUGAGCUCAUAUGCGAUGCAAGUGAUGUAGCGGUGGGGGUUGUUUUGGGGCAACGCAUAAACAAAAUUUUUCAUCCGGUAUACUAUGCUAGUAGGACAAUGAAUAGUACCCAAGUCAACUAUACCGUUACAGAGAAAGAUCUCUUUGCCAUUGUGUUUGCUAUUGAGAAGUUCCGCCCGUACUUGAUGGGUGCUAAAGUGAUUGUCCACAUGGAUCAUACACCACUUCAUUAUCUUAUGAGCAAGAAACAUUCCAAAGCUUGGUUGAUGAGAUGGAUGCUUUUCUUGCAAGAUUUUGACAUUGACAUCCAAGAUAGAAAAGGAAGUGAAAAUAAAGUGGCGGGCCACUUGUCUCGUUUGGAGGAGGAGGGGAGGCCGCAUGACAACCUUGAAAUCAAUGACUCCUUUCCCGAUGAGCAACUUUUGGCUAUUUCAAUGAAAGAGGUGCCAGGGUUUGAGGAUCUAUCAAAUUUCCUUAUGAGUGGUAUCAUCCCGGAUGAGUUCUCUUCAAACCAAAUGAAGAAGCUCAAACGGGAUUGUCAAGAUUGUUAUUGGGAUGAACCGUACCUUUUCCGGAUUUUUACGGAUGGGGUGAUUAGAAGAUGUGUACCGAAAGAAGAGCAAUGGGAAAUUCUUGGGGCCUGUCAUUGUCCGCCAUAUGGUGGUCACCACGGUGGAGCAAGAAUGCCGGCCAAAGUACAAAGUUGAGAUUUCUAUUAGCCCACUCUUUACUUGGAUGCAAGUGAUCUAGUGAAAGGAUGUGAUGAAUGUGAAAGGGACGGUGGGAUCUCAAAGAAAAAUAAAAUGCCACUCACCACCAUUUUGGAGAUUGAUAUUUUUGAUGUGUGGGGUAUUGACUUCAUGGGUCCUUUUGUGAGUUCGUGUGGGAACACCUACAUCUUGGUCGCGGUUGAUUAUGUGCCCAAAUGGGUGGAGGUUGUUUCUCUACCCAACAAUGAGGCGAGAAGUGUGGUGCCGUUCUUGAAGAAUAAUAUUUUCACAAGAUUUGGUACUCCACGGGCAAUCAAAAGUGUUGGGGGUCACAUUUUUGCAACAAAUCCUGCAACACCUUACUUACCAAGUAUGGUUCCACUCACAAAGUUACGACUCCCUAUCAUCCACAAGCAAUCGGUCAAGUGAAAGUUUCUAACCGGGAGAUAAAGAGUAUUUUGUCGAAAAUAGUGAAUGCUAGCCGGCCGAAUUGGUCCAAGAAACUUGAUGAUGCUUUAUGGGAUUAUCGGACGGCUUACAAAACACCUAUCAGAAUCUCUCCAUAUCGAUUAGUGUUCGGAAAAGCUUGUCAUCUUCUGAUGGAACUUGAGCACAAAGCCAUGUGGGCUCUAAAGAAGUUGAAUCCUUACUGGGAUGUCGCCACUAUCUUGAGGGUGGCACAUUGGAAUGAGUUGGAUGAGUUUCGGUACCAUGCAUACACAAGUUCGUCCUUAUACAAAGAGAAAAUGAAAUAUCUUCAUGAUAAGUACAUUUGGAACAAAGAGUUCACAGAGGGUGAUCUUGUGUUGUUGUUCAACUCAUAGUUGAGGAUGUUUCCCAGGAAGUUAAAGCCUAAAUGGAGUGGCCCAUUUGAAGUUGUGGGUGUAACACCCUUUGGUGCAUUGGACUUGAAGAAUAAAAAUGAUGAGGUAUUCCAAGUCAAUGGUCACCGGGUGAAGCACUAUUUAAGAAAAGUUGGUGAUGGCCACGUUGUGGCGGUGAUUCAUUUCAAUUGAUAGUAUUUUGCAUCAUGCCGCAACGUUAAAUCAAGCGCUUCUUAGGAGGCAACCCAUGUUUCUUUUUUUCUUUUCUUUUCUUUUUUUAUAGUUAGGUGAUAUUUUUGUGCUAACUAGAUAUGAAGUGUGUUGCAGGGAUGAGUGUGCUUUAUAGAAAAUGUGCCCAGAAAUUUGGCUAAGUGUGGAAAGAAUUGCGAACUGCAAUUGUAUUGUGCGGGCCGCACAAUUACAGUUGUUGCACAAAAGGUGUUAUGCGGCUGCACAAUUACAUUGCGGACCGCACAAAUUGAAGAUAGAAAAUGACAACUCUCUGAAGUUGGUCCCACAGAAACAUGGCCCUAGAACGCUAUACGCUAUUACCAUGUCAAAAUUUAUGAAAAUUAUUGCAAGCCCUAGAACUUUGUUCGUAAGUGUUUUGAAAUCUGCGGCGCACAAGAAAUUAUGUUGUCCGCAGAAGUUAAAAUUAGGGCACUUUAGUAAGGCAUGAUUUUGCUGCCGCAAUGAAAAAUGUGCGAACCAUAGAAAACCCACUGCGGUCGUAGAACAACUCUUUUUCUGUUGUUAGAGUGUUGUCAAUUUGAUGACUCACAUGUGUGGCCGCAAUAGAAAAUGUGCGGACCACAGAAAAUUGGUUGCGGCCACAAAAUAAACAAUUCUCUAUAAUCAGAGAGUUGUCAUAUUGGUGGUGUCUGAGUUGCGUCCACAAUGAGAAUAGUGCAGGCCGCAAUGAAAAAUUGUGUGGUCUGCAAUGCCCAUUAUGUGGCCGCAAUGAAAAUUCCAUGAACCGCAACUCCCAACCCUGCAAGCAUGUUUUAAACUGUGUUGUUCACAGUCCCACUAGUAUGUUCUUGUAUGUCUGCACUUGAAUUGCAACUAACAUCUGCUUUUGCUUGGUAUAGAAAAUGGUUAGAUCUCGAGGUAAAGGUGAUACUUCAAAGGGGGGGAGAACCUUCCAAGGGUCGAGGCAAGAGUGUUUUACCUCUCGCCCUACAAAAGAUAAUCAUAAAGAAGGCUACAGCCGGCCGACUGAGAAAUGUUGAGCCCUCCGAGUCCAGUUCUUAUGUCCUGUCUAGGGAAGCAUCUGAGGGCAACUCGGUUCAAGAGCAGUCGGUUGUCCAAUCAAAGCCACCAGGAAGGUAUCAACUUUGGGAUGAGCCAUCCACAUCUCAGAACACUUCCGAGGGUUCGGAAAGUGCUGGUGAGGCCUCCGAGCCCUCCUUUACACAUGUCCAUAAAGGCACCAGAUACUACUAUUGAUGACAUCCCGAUGAUGGUUGAGGGGGAGAUGCGACAACUGCCGGCCUUGAAAGGUCAAAGAAGAAUAAGUUCUGAGAAGACCGGUUUGUCAGCUUAGCAGCCUUCUCCAUUUUUAACAAAUGGUGGCCAGUUGGGUCGCUCACUCUUGAGCAUCAGUUCCAUUUGAAAGAUUUAGAAAAGUACAAUCAUGCAUUUCUAAGACAGUUUACAGAGCGCAAAGGGUUGAUGUGGUUUACCUAGAGCGUGGUGGAUGCAAAAGGAGUACAUUUGUCUGGGAAUUCUACGCCAAUGUGGCACACAUCAAGAAGGGGCUAAAGGUUACAAAAGUGAGAAACCUCAAGGUGCGAUUUGACCAACACACAUUGAACACUUACUUGGGGUUUGAUGAUGUCGAGACCAGAGAGUACUUAGAGAAAUAUGCACUUGGGGAGGCAUCCCGUCCUUGUUUAAUAGAGAUGCUAACAGCUCCUAGGCCACCACCACCAUGGAUCACAGCAGGGGUUCCUAUUCAGAGGAACACUCUAUGCUUUGAGGCAAAGGGGUGGCAGACCUUUGUUUGUAGCAGACUAGACUUGUGCCAGAAUGUGACUUAUCUUCCAAUUCCACGGGCAAUUCUAGUUGCUUCUAUCAUGGCCGAUACCCGAUCAAUAUGGGUGCCAUUAUGUCGGCGAAAAUCUCUAUGAUUGCGUGGCAAGCUGACUCGUCUUACCCAUAUCCCAACACUAUUACAGAGUAUCUCACGGAUGUGGGGGUAGAGCCGAGGGAUUAUGAUACGAAGGUGCGGCCAAAGAAGUCGUUCUCAUGGUACUCUCUGAUGGAUACUACGAACCCAAAGAAGAAGGUUCAGCCUCAUACCACUGCGGGCUUGUAUGACGAGCCAGCUGUGGUAGAUACAGAUACAAUUGAGGGUCCAUCCACUUCGGCCGAGCCAUCAUCCAGUGCUGCAGCGAUGCCUCCACCACCAUCUUCAAUUCCCACUGUAUCUCCUUCCACAGGUUCCAUGUCAGCUUUGAAGCAGGUGCCCAUGCCUAUUGCUCCACUUUUUGAGCUGUGAGUCUCCCGGACAUUGUCGAGCCUCAACAACUGGAUGCAGAUAGCCAUUGCAAAGCUGUCUGACAUAUCCAGUACUAUUGUAGCACAGUCAUCCAUUUCGGCACCUCAGGUUCCUCCGACAGUGGAAGAGACAUUGAAGAAGCUCUUGGAGAACCAGGCUACUAUAAUGAACACUUUGGUACAACAUGGGUCAGUGAUUGAGGAACUGGGAAAGGAAGUAAAGAAAAUGAGAAAGUCCCAGGCUUCCAAGAAAUCAGUUGACAAGCUCCGGAGACAGGUGACCAAGAUUGCAGCAGCUAGAGAUCUCCCAUUUGAGAUGUUGAUUGAACCAGCUCUGACAGCACCAGUAGCACCAUCAUCCCCAUUGGCACCAGUUGGCCAGUCUGAUGAGCCAGACCUGGCUGCCAACAUUGUCGAGGUAGUACGCCAGAUAUUCACCAACCCAAUCACUCCCAGAGUUGAGGAUGAUGAGAUCCAGUUGGAAGAGACAGAUGGCGGUGACAUUGUUGGGGACACAGAGAUGUCCAAGGAGCCAUAGGGAGUCUUCUUUACUUUUUCCUUUCCUUUACUCUUACUUUGUAAGCAUUGAUGGAGUCUAUUUGAUCUUAUUUGCUGAUUUUAAGACAUUUGGCAUAUACUUAACUUGAUAUUAUUUUCUAUUUCUUUCUCAUUAUAUAUAUAUAUAUAUAUAUAUAUAUAUAUAUAUAUAUAGAGUACUACGANNNNNNNNNNNNNNNNAUACUCUCUUCCCUCAUUAUGCAUAUAUCUUCUCUUCCUCUCUCAUUAUGUGUAUUCGUUAUGCUUUCAAUAGUUUUUGCUUUGUAGAUUUUUUAUGUUUGUUUUCUUAUUAGUUAGUGUUUAAUUUAGUACCUUCUUUUUAUGUUUUAGUAAAUAAUAAGCCUUUGGUUUUCUUAAUGUCACGGUUCUUUCCAAAGGCAGUUUUUUGUGUGAACCGGGUAACUCUUCCCAAUGAUGGAUGGCAUGACAACCUUCUUAAAGGAAUGAGUCUGUUUUGUGUUUGUGAUAAUAGUAGUAAUAAUGAACAAAAAGACAUGAUUAAGUCAAACUCGAAGAGUCAAACAUGAUUCAUUUGGUACCAACACAUUUAAUUAUAUUCUUAUUGUUAUAGACAAGGAUUUUUACAAGGAAAUAACUCUAGUUAGUGACUUUGUGACUCUUGUAUUGACUUUGAUACCAUCGAGUGGUCUAAUUGGAUCAUAGUGAUCUUCAAUCUUGAAUUUAGUCGUUGUGGGCCCUCAACUCUAUCCUCUUUAACAAUCUAGUUGCAUGAGGGGUGAGAUGUUUUGCUGCUAGUGCAAGUACCCGUGUGAAAGGUCUAGAACUUGCCUCGAAUGAGUUUUAAGGAGAAAUCGUAGGUUUUGCUUGGCUUGAGAAGUGAUUGUAGGCUUUCCUUGGCCCCUUUGAGUUUUCUAUUGUCUACCAAUGAUGUCAUCCCUAGUCAACCCCUUCGAUCCUUUAGCCUUUCUCAUUUGAAAAUCAUGUUACAAGCCUUCACUCGUUUUAUCGUGACCUUCUCUUGGCACCCGAGCUUUCCUUAACACUCAUGUAAAAAAAUUGGCUAAAAAUGUAAGUUUGGAGGAGACGAGGAAAUUGAAAAAAAGGUAUCAAAGCACAAAAAGAGAAAAGAAAUGAUGAGAAGGAAAGGCCAAGAAAAGAAAAGAACAAAAAGAGAAAUGCAAAAAGUGAAUAAAUGAAAGAGUUUAAGGGAUUAUAAAGGCAAUGAUCCCAAACAUGGAGAAAUAUGAAUGUAAUAAUCAAGAAAGAGUAAUGUUAAGUCUCUCUAGUCCCCCAAGAAAAAGAAAGUGCCUCAAGGAAUCUGCAAAGUGUGAGUCGAGAAUUGAAAGAUGGAGUGCUUAAGGAAGGUGUAACCACUUAUCCAUAUUGUAUCAAUCCCUAAUCCAAAAUCCUUCAUUACAUCCCGAAAGAAUUCCUACUUGAUUUUGAGACGAGUGAGCUACAUUAGUGGUGAUCUACAUGAGGGGAAAGCUUAUGGUACUAGAAGUUGUACUUGUGACAUUCUCUUGAGAGAGAUGAGUGAACCUUUCAUAUAUUUUUGAAUUGAGUGCUAAAUUCUUAAGUGAGCUUGGCAAAUGGAAAGUAGAGGAUGGAGAGUUUGGGAUCUACCAUGACCUACAAGAUAGAGUGAAAGUCCUUGAUGAAUAAAGUCAAUCCUUGAUGCUCGAAUGUCACAUCAGAGCUAUAUGUGCGUAAAUGUUUUAACUUGUUGCCUUGUCAAUAAUGUAUGAUUGGUGUGGGUAAUUGUUGGUCCCAACUAAGGUGUGAAUGGUUCACCAGUGGCUAGCUGUAAUGUCCCUUAACUUUUGGAGGUGGGAACUAUUUUAUUUGCUUGAGGACAAGCAAAGACUUAAGUUUGGGGAAGUUGAUAAGUGGGGAUUUUGAUUACUUAUUAGCGCCUUUUUUGCUUUCGUUUUAGUCUAAAAGCAUUGAAUUGUAUCCCCGAAACUAAUCAAAUUGUGUAAAAUUGCAGGAGUGAUGGAAAUUGGGUUCCCGAGAUAAAAUUCGAC
rnacentral:lncRNA from 1 species